rnacentral:lncRNA from 1 species
GUCAGCUCCCGUGCCUUGUCCCCCUUGCAGUCCACCACUGCCUUCACCCGCUUCUGCCUCCCCUUGGCCGGAGCGAAGCGUCGGGGCAUGGGCACGGGGGGCACCUUGCUGGGUGUGGGGUCCUCGGGGCUCUGGGGAGGGGUGGCUUUGCCCACCACACCGCUGAUGCGCCGGUAGGAGCGGGUGCUCUCAGAGCCAAACUUGACGGGGGUGACAUCGGAGCUCACAGCACCCGGCGGGGGCUGCCCG